UACGUAGGUCCCGAGCGUUGUCCGGAUUUAUUGGGCGUAAAGCGAGCGCAGGUGGUUUAUUAAGUCUGGUGUAAAAGGCAGUGGCUCAACCAUUGUAUGCAUUGGAAACUGGUAGACUUGAGUGCAGGAGAGGAGAGUGGGAUUCCAUGUGUAGCGGUGAAAUGCAUAGAUAUCACGCAGAACUCCGAUUGCGAAGGCAGCGUACCGGCAUCCAACUGACGCUGAGGCACGAAAGCGUGGGGAUCAAACAGG
rnacentral:rRNA from 1 species